ACAAUCCAGCUCCCUGUUUAAUGGAGGAAGUUUCACUUUGUGCUCGCUGCGGUGUAUUUAUUUAACUUGUCCAUAUGGGACCUGCAAAAUAUUAGCAUGAAAACUACAGAGUUUCUGAAGGGUUUGGAAAUCUGAUUCACAGCCUGAACAGACAAAGCAUACCAUUGCAACCCUGAAUAUAACGUACUGUAACAUCACCAAAAAAAAAGGUUUUCAAAGGUACAGAGUCCUUUUAAUCACAGAGCUAUUAGAAAUCUCCACCACUUAGUUCUCCUGUGAAAGAUCUUAAAAUCUCCACAUUUUCCUUAUUUUUGGGGUAAGAAUCCCAAAGUCUCCCAGUAUAUUGAAUGGCUAUGAUUUGCAUCCUUCUCAAGGGAGCAGAUGAUGAAUGAAAUAUCAAACAAGAUGAUUAUUUUGUGGAGCCACACUUCCCCUCCAGACAACAAGUUCCUUUUUUUAAUACAGUCACAAACAUCGUCAUGCGGUUCUCAGAGGGACAAGCACAUUGAAAAGGUUACGACUUAACUCAGUUCAAGCCUGAUGAUGUUGGGAGUACCACGCUGAUCUGGGGGCUUCUCGCCCUCCAAGCUGCAGAUAAAAGACAUGAGAGGGCACGAAAUUGUGCCUCUUUGAGUGUUGUACAGAGUAGCAUGCUGCAGUGGGGUUCUGAGCUGCCUUCUAUGCUCAGGGAUUACUCUUGCUGAAGAAGGAAGCCCAGUGGAGCUGAAGUCAAAGGGAAAAAUGUUGUUAACUCAGACAUGCAAAGCUGGGAGCCCAAGUGGAGUGAGGCAAAAGGGAAGACUCUGUCUUAACGAUCAGACACAGAGAAGCACAAAAUAGAGUUCCAGUGAAAAGAUACAUAUGUACGUACACUUGCUGUCAUAUUUUGAACCAUCAUUUGGAGACAAGCAGCAAACAGAAAAGUGGUAUGUGUCUCCCACUGGCAUCUGUUUGGGUUGAUCUGUAUCUAUUGUUCUGUCUUUCCUGCUUGUUCAAAAUCCUCGCAUGGUAUAUUUAACACAUAUUCAGAUGUUUUGAAAUGCCAGCUCUUUCAUAAGGAGCCAUAAUUGUUAGAUAUUAUUUAGGUACAUCUCAUGCAUUUUUCUUGAAACAAUUAUGGAAAGCAUAAACAAAUAUGGGAAAAACUCUGUAAAGUGUAAGGUACUGUGAUCUGCCAUAUCCCUUCAGUUUUUGCAAGGCUUUCUCCCUCUAAGAGGAUGUGGCACAGCAAAUAUGUCUGUGCUCUCACAUUUCUGUGAGUUUCCAACACCCACUGCAGUCAGGAGUACUCCCUUUAUGUUCUGAAAGCUGCUGACAAGACUGGAAACAGAUCCAUUAUUGGGCAUAGGUUUCUGAGCACAAGCUGUUGCUAGAUGGAGCAAUUGCAACUUAUUCAUCUUCUUGCAGUAAUUAACACCAGUUUUUAAACAACCUGGUGUUUUUUUGUUUGUUUGUUUGUUUGGUGUUUUUUUUUUGUUUUGUUUUGUUUUUUGUUUUUUUUUCAUGAUUAAAUGAUGUGUGGCAAGUACUUCAGAAGAGAAAAGUAUUUGGCUUUGGACAGAUGAAAUGUUGUCACAAAAAGAUGUCAUGGUCAGGGAUGAACUUAGCAAAGGCAGGGAGAGACAGGAAGUCCUCACCACGAACACUCUUUGUCAGCAAGGAAGUCCAGACAGUUUCAUUUCUGCCUUCAAACCAAGCUGAAAAGAGUGUCCUGGUAGCUCAGUCUUAAUGCUGUACAACAAACUGGGACUGUUCACUUGUAAUAAAUACCAACUUCAUUCCCAGGGUGAGUAGUUUCAUUUCUGGUGACUGCAAUACUCUAAUAAAAGUUGAAUGAUAUUUGUAAUCCUUUAUUUUCUUUCAUUUGAGGGACAGAAGUAAUGAUUCAAAUUUAAUCCUCCAGUUUUCUACUUCAGAAAACAGUUUCCAUCUUUGUUUCUAUUCAUAUUAUUUGCAUACAGAGCAUAUUUUAUUAUGAUGUUUUUAUCUCUGAAAUCUAUAACAUUUUAUGACUGUACUAGGGACAGGUGUUGGUGAUGUAUUUCUUUCUUGUGUGCAGCAAUCCAUUAUAGGUGUAUUUCCUGCAUUAGGAAGUAUCAUUGAUAAAAUACACAAAACUCACAUGAAUUGGCAUUCACAAUGCCACAAAACAUAGUGAUUUUUUUUUAUUUUUGAGUGAAAAAUGACAACCUAUGUACUCUGCAUUAGAAUACAUUUGUUUUUAUUAAAUCUUGUGAUUUUUAUUUAAUUUGUAGCUGAGAAGGUUUUAUAACUGCUCUGUCUGGUCUUGCCCGACUGAAAUUAGCACUUCAGAAAUAAAGCUAGGCUUAC
rnacentral:lncRNA from 7 species